UUAUUUUUUUAAUUGGGGUAGCCCCCAAAAUAUUGGGACAUUGUUCCGCAGAGUAGCUGUUAACAUUAUAGUUGCGCAGGAACUUUGUUGACUCUAGAGAACCUUGGGCAAAUCGCACAUCCCCAUGGCGGCGACUUUGCAUGCAGAUGUCAUCCAUAUCAACUUUCGAUGCCAGUUUCUGCGCCUACCAUGGUGACCAUGGGUAACGGGGAAUCAGGGUCCCGUUCCAUACAGGUACCCUGAGAAACAGCUACCACAUACAAGGAAGGCAGCAGGUGCACAAAUGACCCACUUCCAACGCGGGAAGGUAGUGACGACAAAUAACAAUACAGGACUCUUUAGAGGUCCUGUAGUUGUAAUGA